GCACGGAAGGCGUACGCUGAGGCUUAUCAUGAUUGCAUUUCCUUCGACACGACAUACAUGACAAACAUGUACAACAUGCCUUUUGCACCGUUCAUUGGUAUCAACCGGCACGGGCAGUCAUUCAUGUUGGGGUGUGGAUUUGUUAGGCAAGAAUUGGAGACGGGCUUUGAUUGGUUGUUUGGGAGUUUCCUUGAAGCAAUGCAUGGACUGGCCCCUAACAACAUCAUAACUGACCAAGACAUUGCGAUGGCUGAAUCUAUUAAGAACAUCUUCCCUACAAGUGUGCAUCAGCGUUGUCAUUGGCACAUCAUGAAGAAA
rnacentral:rRNA from 1 species